rnacentral:rRNA from 1 species
AUGCAGCACCAACGACACAACAUGCUUACCUUCGACAUGCGUACGAGCAUGUACUAUGUUCUUCUCCUGCAGCUCGUGCUCGCGGGCGCCAUUGCCCGCCGCGGCGUCGUCGGAGCCCUGGACGUGGGUUACUACGCCGCGACGUGCCCGGACGCCGCGGCGACGGUGCGGCAGGCCAUGGAGCUGCAGUUCUACAACGACCGCACCAUCGCCCCCGCCAUCAUCCGCAUGCUCUUCCACGACUGCUUCGUCAGGGGGUGCGACGCGUCGGUGAUGAUCGUGCCGGCGGCGGGGCGGUCGUCGGAGCGGGUGGCGAUCCCGAACCAGACGCUGCGCGGCUUCAACAUCGUCAACCGGGUCAAGAAGGCCCUGGAGUCGGCCUGCCCGGGCGUGGUCUCCUGCGCCGACACGCUGGCGCUCAUGGCGCGGGACUCCGUCGCCCUCCUCGGCGGCGCCGCCUACGACGUCCCGCUCGGCCGCCGCGACGGGCUGCAGUCCAACCCCUGGGAGGUGGACCUGCCGGCCCCCUUCGCGCGCCUCGACGACGCGCUCCGCUCCUUCGCCGCCAGGGGCUUCUCGGCGGAGGAGACGGUGGUGCUCUUCGGCGCCCACACCGUCGGCGCCACGCGCUGCUCCCACUUCCGCUACCGCCUCGCGCACCCGGACGGCACCAUGGACGAGGCGCUCCGGCGCGACAUGGCCGAGGCGUGCGGCCUCGCCGGCGGCGACCUGCCGCCGGACGACGACCCCACCGCGUUCCUCGACCCGGACACGCCGUUCGCCAUCGACAACGCGUGCUACGGCCAGAUGAUUGGCAACCGGAGCCUCCUGCAGCUGGACCAGGAGGCCGCCACGCACCCCGCCACGGCCGGCCACGUCGGCUACUACGCGGCCAGCCCCGACGCGUUCGUGCGGCGGUUCUCGGAGGCCAUGGCCAAGCUGGCGGCCGUGGGCGUGCUCGAGGGGGACGCCGGCGAGGUCAGGAAGGUGUGCAGCGCGUACAACAAAUGA